UGCGAACUCCUACGGGAGGCAGCAGUGGGGAAUAUUGGACAAUGGGGGGAACCCUGAUCCAGCCAUGCCGCGUGUGUGAAGAAGGCCUUUUGGUUGUAAAGCACUUUAAGCGAGGAGGAGGCUACUGGUACUAAUACUACCAGCUAGUGGACGUUACUCGCAGAAUAAGCACCGGCUAACUCUGUGCCAGCAGCCGCGGUAAUACAGAGGGUGCGAGCGUUAAUCGGAUUUACUGGGCGUAAAGCGUGCGUAGGUGGCUUUUUAAGUCAAAUGUGAAAUCCCCGAGCUUAACUUGGGAAUUGCAUUCGAUACUGGAAAGCUAGAGUAUGGGAGAGGAUGGUAGAAUUCCAGGUGUAGCGGUGAAAUGCGUAGAGAUCUGGAGGAAUACCGAUGGCGAAGGCAGCCAUCUGGCCUAAUACUGACACUGAGGUACGAAAGCAUGGGGAGCAAACAGGAUUAGAUACCCGAGUAGUCCAGAUG
rnacentral:rRNA from 1 species